CAGCCGCCGCGGUAAUACCGGCGGCCCGAGUGGCGGCCACUAUUAUUGGGCUUAAAGCGUCCGUAGCCGGGUUGGGUAGUCUCCCGGGAAAUCUGGCCGCUUAACGGUCAGAAUUCCGGGAGAUACUGCCAGCCUAGGGACCGGGAGAGGCCGAGGGUAUUCCCGGAGUAGGGGUGAAAUCCUAUAAUCCCGGGAGGACCACCUGUGGCGAAGGCGCUCGGCUGGAACGGGUCCGACGGUGAGGGACGAAGGCCAGGGGAGCAAACCGGAUUAGAUACCCGGGUAGUCCUGGCUGUAAACGAUGCGGACUUUGUGUCGGACAAGCUAUGAGCUUGUCCGGUGCCGGAGGGAAACCGUUAAGUCCGCCGCCUGGGGAGUACGGCCGCAAGGCUGAAACUUAAAGGAAUUGGCGGG
rnacentral:rRNA from 1 species